rnacentral:rRNA from 1 species
CCAGACUCCUACGGGAGGCAGCAGUGGGGGAUAUUGCACAAUGGGGGAAACCCUGAUGCAGCGACGCCGCGUGAGUGAAGAAGUAUUUCGGUAUGUAAAGCUCUAUCAGCAGGGAAGAAGAUGACAGUACCUGAGUAAGAAGCCCCGGCUAACUACGUGCCAGCAGCCGCGGUAAUACGUAGGGGGCAAGCGUUAUCCGGAUUUACUGGGUGUAAAGGGAGCGUAGACGGUUGCAUAAGUCUGGAGUGAAAGCCCGGGGUGCAACCCCGGGACUGCUCUUGGAACUGCGCGGCUGGAGUGCAGGAGGGGCAGGCGGAAUUCCUGGUGUAGCGGUGAAAUGCGUAGAUAUCAGGAGGAACACCGGUGGCGAAGGCGGCCUGCUGGACUGCGACUGACGUUGAGGCCCGAAAGCGUGGGGAGCAAACAGGAUUAGAUACCCCAGUAAA